UACGGAGGGAGCUAGCGUUGCUCGGAAUUACUGGGCGUAAAGCGCACGUAGGCGGCUUUGUAAGUUAGGGGUGAAAGCCUGGAGCUCAACUUCAGAAUUGCCCUUAAGACUGCAUCGCUUGAAUCCAGGAGAGGUGAGUGGAAUUCCGAGUGUAGAGGUGAAAUUCGUAGAUAUUCGGAAGAACACCAGUGGCGAAGGCGGCUCACUGGACUGGUAUUGACGCUGAGGUGCGAAAGCGUGGGGAGCAAACAGG
rnacentral:rRNA from 1 species